ACCUGUUAAAUUUGCAGAGUUAGCUUAAUACUGUAGCUACUUCUGUGAAACUGCAGGGAGAAUAAAAAGAAAGGUUUUUCGUGUGUGCUACAGCUUUAUGUUCUGUAUGCAUACCCCGUGCCUUUCUGACA